UGGGGAAUUUUGGACAAUGGGCGAAAGCCUGAUCCAGCAAUGCCGCGUGUGUGAAGAAGGCCUUCGGGUUGUAAAGCGCUUUUGUCCGGAAAGAAAUCCUUGGCUCUAAUACAGUCGGGGGAUGACGGUACCGGAAGAAUAAGCACCGGCUAACUACGUGCCAGCAGCCGCGGUAAUACGUAGGGUGCAAGCGUUAAUCGGAAUUACUGGGCGUAAAGCGUGCGCAGGCGGUUUGCUAAGACCGAUGUGAAAUCCCCGGGCUCAACCUGGGAACUGCAUUGGUGACUGGCAGGCUAGAGUAUGGCAGAGGGGGGUAGAAUUCCACGUGUAGCAGUGAAAUGCGUAGAGAUGUGGAGGAAUACCGAUGGCGAAGGCAGCCCCCUGGGCCAAUACUGACGCUCAUGCACGAAAGCGUGGGGAGCAAACAGGAUUAGAUACCCUGGUAGUCCACGCCCUAAACGAUGUCCAACUAGUUGUUGGGGAUUCAUUUCCUUAGUAACGUAGCUAACGCGUGAAGUUGACCGCCU
rnacentral:rRNA from 1 species